rnacentral:rRNA from 1 species
UCGUCAUCGUAGGGUUAGUCGGGACCUAAGUCGAGUCCGAAAGGGGUAGACGAUGGCAAAUUGAUUAAUAUUUCAAUACCAACAAAUAAGCGCGAUGUGGGGACGCAUAGRGUUAAUCGAGCUCACUGAUGGAAUAGUGGGUCGAAGGACGUAGGUCGUAUCUUAGGCAAAUCCGGGAUACACGAGACCGAGAUCUUACAGGCUCUUGACACUCUUCGGAGRAGAUAGAGAAUCGAUGAUACUGUCGUGCCAAGAAAAGCCACUAAGUAUAUUAUUUGUUGCCCGUACCGUAAACCGACACAGGUGGGUGGGAUGAGUAUUCUAAGGCGCGUGGAAGAACCCUGGUUAAGGAACUCUGCAAACUAGCACCGUAUCUUCGGUAUAAGGUGUGCCUACUUUGGUAUAGAGAUUUACUCUCAAAAGCUAAAGAGGUUGCAACAAAGAGUCCCUCCCGACUGUUUAC